CGUACGGUAGUAAUAAUGCUCAUGUGCCCGCCCACUAGAUUGUAUGUACGCCAGGGCAGGCACCAUCCGACACAGUGACCUCUGCUUCUCCGGACAGGGAGAGUGUCCAGGCCGUCCCCAGGUUCUGUCCUCUGCUUCGUGCUUGCCUUAUGAUGCUCUUACCCACCUGGCUCUGCCCGGAGGAUGGAGACUUGCCAUGCUGGAAGAGGAGAAGGCACCACUUCUUCUGGUCUGCUGGCUGUGGGCUUGGCUUUCAGGCUGGAACUCAGGACCUUGUGCUUGCCAGGCAGGUGCAGCGGGCUACAUCCCUGGCCCAACAUGUCCUUUUGAUGCAAGUGACAUUUGUAUUUAAUGUACCAAAUUGUUAAUCUAAGUUUUAUAAUGUAAUUUAUACCAAUCCUUUCAAAGAUGGCAUUAUCUAACCUUUAAAGUAUGAAUAA